AUUGAACGCUGGCGGCAUGCCUUACACAUGCAAGUCGAACGGCAGCACGGGGCAACCUGGUGGCGAGUGGCGAACGGGUGAGUAAUGCAUCGGAACGUGCCAUUGAGUGGGGGAUAACGUAGCGAAAGUUGCGCUAAUACCGCAUAUUCUGUGAGCAGGAAAGCAGGGGACCGCAAGGCCUUGCGCUCUUUGAGCGGCCGAUGUCAGAUUAGCUAGUUGGUGAGGUAACGGCCUACCAAGGCGACGAUCCGUAGCGGGUCUGAGAGGAUGAUCCGCCACACUGGGACUGAGACACGGCCCAGACUCCUACGGGAGGCAGCAGUGGGGAAUUUUGGACAAUGGGCGCAAGCCUGAUCCAGCCAUGCCGCGUGAGUGAAGAAGGCCUCGG
rnacentral:rRNA from 1 species